rnacentral:rRNA from 1 species
UACGUAGGGGGCUAGCGUUGUCCGGAAUCAUUGGGCGUAAAGAGCGUGUAGGCGGCCAUGCAGGUCAGCUGUGAAAACUCGAGGCUCAACCUCGAGACGUCGGUUGAAACCGUGUGGCUAGAGUCCGGAAGAGGAGAGUGGAAUUCCCGGUGUAGCGGUGAAAUGUCGCAGAUAUCGGGAAGAACACCUAUGGCGAAGGCAGCUCUCUGGGACGGGUACUGACGCUGAGACGCGAAAGCGUGGGGAGCGAACAGG